rnacentral:rRNA from 1 species
UACGUAGGGUCCGAGCGUUGUCCGGAAUUACUGGGCGUAAAGAGCUCGUAGGCGGUUUGUCGCGUUGUUCGUGAAAACUCACAGCUCAACUGUGGGCGUGCGGGCGAUACGGGCAGACUGGAGUACUGCAGGGGAGACUGGAAUUCCUGGUGUAGCGGUGAAAUGCGCAGAUAUCAGGAGGAACACCGGUGGCGAAGGCGGGUCUCUGGGCCGAUACUGACGCUGAGGAGCGAAAGCGUGGGGAGCGAACAGG